AUAAAAUCAAAAGUUGUUUUUUGUGUAUUCUUCAGGACCUCUUUUCUUGAUGGGAAGGAUUUAAGAUGUACUGCCUGACAGCAUCCGGGAAUCGUUAAAUGGAAAUUAGGAAACAGAGUGUUGAUGUCUGGACUAUUCUACUGUUGUGAAGUUUAAGAUAUAAUACUUUUAUAAAAAAAGACUUACCUAUACAUAUCAAUUGAGAGACACUUCUGGAAGGACAGUGAAUUGACAUUUGUUUUUCUCAAUAUGAAAAUGGAAUUACUUAAGGCAUCUCAGUGGACUAAAUGAUGACACUUAAUCUGUAGGGAUAAAAAAUCUACAACUAUGAGAAGUUCAUUAAUCGGUACAGCAAUGUGUUAAAAACAAUCAAAAUAAAUUAUAUGAUUACAAAUGAUGAUGUUACAAGUGAAAAAAUCUAGAAGCAGGUGUUCAAAGAAUUUUAAAAAUCAAUAAAACAGUUGUAUAACAACACUGUUAUAAGUUCAGUGAUAAACACCAGUAGCAGGUGUUCAAGGAAUUCAAAAUCAAUUAUAUCAUAGUGUUCCAACUCCAGUGAUAAACUCCAGUAGCAGGUGUUCAAGGAAUUCAAAAUCAAUUAUAUCAUAGUGUUCCAACUCCAGUGAUAAACUCCAGUAGAAGGUGUGCCAAAAUUACAACUCAACUGAUAGAAAUGAGUAGCAGAAAAUUAUAAGUUUGUACUAUGUGUGAAGAAAGUUUUUGUGAGGGAAUAUACAUGUUUAUAAUUUAUCUGAUGAGCUGAAGUCCGACUCUACAAGAUAAUUUCUGAUUCCAUUCCACUGUAUCGACACUAGUGUAUAUUGAUAUAUCAUAUUACAUUUGUAAAUUAUUUAAAAAGAUAUGUCUUAAAGAUCUUUAUUAUACCUCUGUAUUUCAAACCACUUGCCCCUCACCGCUGUGGGUUCGA